AAGAAACCCGGAAGUAUCGCAGUGAAUCACAUGAGAGUUGCAAAUGCGAUGUUGUGUAUUAGGCUGUACAUCAUAUUAACGUAAAGAGAGUGAUAAUAUAUAUCCUUUCAUCUAUUCCCGAGUGACUCAAAGGGAUAUUGGACCUUAUUUUCAGAUUACAAACAACACGAGAGGGUGCUCCAAACUUUUUAAUCAGGACUGCAUUGUUUGUUCGCUCCCGGGGUUACAUAGACUGAAACGGGGAAGCGUGACGAGUUUGUUUACAUGGUGCUGUAAACUCCAACCCAGGAGGACACUUCAGAGGAAUCAAGGUGUCUGUGAUGUUGAAACACUAAAGGAAGAAGAGGAGGACCACCAUUUGUUUCCUGAUCAGAACACAAGAGAAGAAUCUAACAGUGGUUUGGGGGCAUUGCAAGACCAUGAUUACCUGGAAACAUCUCCUAUUAUGGAAGAGCACAACAUCAUGCUCGCAACAUUUGUGUCCUGGAUCAGUUUUUCUUGUUUCUCUGCUGUAUGAGGCAGGGGCUUCUUUCCGCAGAUUUAGCUGUAAGGUUUAAAGGUCCCGUUUUUCCUGAUCCCAUUUUUUAAACUUUAGUUAGUGUGUAAUGUUGCUGUUAGAGCAUAAAUAAUACCUGUAAAUUAUAAAGCUCAAAAUUCAAUGCCAAGCGACAUAUUUUCUUUAAUAGA